rnacentral:rRNA from 1 species
GUGGACUGCUCCAGCCUGGAUAAGCAACCUAAGUGUAGAAACAGCCAGAGAGGUCUUAGAAGCUAAGCAGAGUCAGGCCUUACUAGGACUUGGAUGGGAGGCCAGCUGUGAAUACUUGGUGCUGUAGGCU